UCCAACCUAUUUGCUGGAGAUGCAAGGAACAAAGGGAAAGAAAGGCAAAAGUAGAUUCCCACUGCACAUGUUAUGUACUAGACAAUGUUUAAUUUGUCUUGGCUUGUGUAGGGACCAAACCCAUUUUUUAUAUCUGAUUUUCUAUAGCCCUUAAUGACAACCUCAAACGUAGCAUGCAUAUGCAUUUUUGACACAGUUCCCAAAACCUCCCCUCCCUUCCCCCACUUUUUUUAAUUUUUAUUCUCUAUGUUAAGGACAUAGGUUAAUCAUUAAUAUAUAGUGUUAAGUCACUCAACAUGCGUUACUAUCAUAUAAUCAUUCUGCCUCGUUUGUUCAAGAAACGAGUAAAUUUUGUACACGUAAUAGUGCAAAAAGCCACUACUAGUCCUUAAUAAUGAAUCAAUAUGUGAAGGACAAGAUAUGUGAUACUUAAUAUUCGAUUUCUCAAAUGUAAGGCCAAGAGGGGCAUGGACACAUGAUGGUCUAACAAUUAUAGUUUGAUCCUGAGUAAAUUGAUUGUGAAUAUAGAGUACGGACAGAGGGAUCAAUUUUGUAGAUAAGGAAAAGGUAUCAUCCUUCAAUGUGCAAAAUCUAAACCAGAAACAGGCCAUUUUCAGCAAUCACUCAUGUGGGCCUCUUUUACUGAGAUCUGGAAAUUAGGCUGCCACUGUGGGUCCAUCAACAAAGACAUUUGCUCAAUCAGGGAGAGAGAGAAAUCCCAAGCCAGAGAAUUAUCAACUACAUGGGCAUCUUCGUGCACAUGUAUUCAUGUUUGUACUCUUCUUAGUUCUUACACCCACAAGGACACACAGGAAUAAUAAAAUCAGGAACAGUAUUUUUCAGUAAAGGAGGAAGCUCUUGUUAUUAUGGACCUAAAACAGUAUCUGCAUACCCUUCUCAAUUUCAGCUAUUAGCU